rnacentral:rRNA from 1 species
GUCCACGCCCUAAACUAUGGAUACUAAGCAGGGGACCACCAAAUGGAUCCUUGCCGUAGCAAAAGCGUUAAGUAUCCCGCCUGGGGAGUAUGGUCGCAAGGCUGAAACUCAAAGGAAUUGACGGGGGCUCACACAAGCGGUGGAGCAUGUUGCUUAAUUCGAUGCAACGCGAAGAACCUUACCCGGGCUCGAAGCGCACGGAUUAGCUCUGUGAAAGCAGAGUAACUCCUUAACCGGUGGAACGUGCGAAGGUGUUGCAUGGCUGUCGU